UUAAAUUGAAGAGUUUGAUCAUGGCUCAGAUUGAACGCUGGCGGCAGUACUAACACAUGCAA
rnacentral:rRNA from 1 species